rnacentral:rRNA from 1 species
CACGUAGGCGGAUUGGUAAGUCAGAUGUGAAAUCCCGGAGCUCAACUCCGGAACUGCAUUUGAUACUGCCAGUCUUGAGUGAGGUAGAGGGGGGUGGAAUUCCCGGUGCAGAGGUGAAAUUCGUAGAUAUCGGGAGGAACACCAGAGGCGAAGGCGACCCCCUGGGCCUCUACUGACGCUGAGGUGCGAAAGCGUGGGGAGCAAACA